rnacentral:rRNA from 1 species
CAGUAGCCACGGGAAUACGUAGGUGGCAAGCGUUGUCCGGAAUUAUUGGGCGUAAAGGGCUCGCAGGCGGUUUCUUAAGUCUGAUGUGAAAGCCCCCGGCUCAACCGGGGAGGGUCAUUGGAAACUGGGAAACUUGAGUGCAGAAGAGGAGAGUGGAAUUCCACGUGUAGCGGUGAAAUGCGUAGAGAUGUGGAGGAACACCAGUGGCGAAGGCGACUCUCUGGUCUGUAACUGAGGCUGAGGAGCGAAAGCGUGGGGAGCGAACAGGAUUAGAUACCCGCGUAGUCCCUGUCUCUUAUAA